rnacentral:rRNA from 1 species
UACGGGGGGGGGCAAGCGUUGUUCGGAAUUACUGGGCGUAAAGGGCUCGUAGGCGGCCAACUAAGUCCGACGUGAAAUCCCCAGGCUUAACCUGGGAACUGCGUCGGAUACUGGAUGGCUUGAAUCCGGGAGAGGGAUGCGGAAUUCCAGGUGUAGCGGUGAAAUGCGUAGAUAUCGUAAGGAAGACCAGUGGCGAAGGCGGGUCUCUGGACAGUUCCUGACGCUGAGGCACGAAGGUCAGGGGAGCAAACGGG